rnacentral:tRNA from 1 species
GGCCGCCUGGCGAAAUGGCAUCGCGUCUGACUACGACACAAGAGUGUGGAUCAGGAGAUUGCAGGUUCGACCCCUGCGGUGGUCA